rnacentral:rRNA from 1 species
UUUUGGACAAUGGGGGAAACCCUGAUCCAGCCAUCCCGCGUGUAUGAUGAAGGCCUUCGGGUUGUAAAGUACUUUUGGCAGAGAAGAAAAGGUAGCUCCUAAUACUAGAUACUGCUGACGGUAUCUGCAGAAUAAGCACCGGCUAACUACGUGCCAGCAGCCGCGGUAAUACGAAGGGUGCAAGCGUUAAUCGGAAUUACAGGGCGUAAAGCGAGUGUAGGCGGUUCGGAAAGAAAGAUGUGAGAGACCAGGGCGCAACCUUGGAACUGCAUUUUUAACUGCCGUGCUAGAGAAUGUGAGAGAGGGGUAGAAUUCCACGUGUAGCAGUGAAAUGCGUAGAUAUGUGGAGGAAUACCGAUGGCGAAGGCAGCCCCCUGGGAUAAUACUGACGCUCAGACACGAAAGCGUGGGGAGCAAACAG